rnacentral:rRNA from 1 species
UACGGAGGGUGCAAACGUUGCUCGGAAUUAUUGGGCGUAAAGCGCACGUAGGCGGCCGACUAAGUCGGGUGUGAAAGCCCAGGGCUCAACCCUGGAAGUGCACUCGAAACUGACCGGCUUGAAUAUGGAAGAGGGUCGCGGAAUUCCCGGUGUAGAGGUGAAAUUCGUAGAUAUCGGGAGGAACACCAGUGGCGAAGGCGGCGACCUGGGCCAAUAUUGACGCUGAGGUGCGAAAGCGUGGGGAGCAAACCGG